rnacentral:misc_RNA from 1 species
AAUGUCGUAACAAGGUUGCCGUAGGUGAACCUGCGGAAGGAUCAUUAAAUGAGACGUUCCCCGUUCCGGGGGGUUAUUAACCUCCCCAACCCUUUGUUUAUUUAUACCUUUGGUUGCUUUGGCAGACCCGGCUUCGGCCCACCGGCUCCGGCUGGUCAGUGUCCGCCAGAGGGACCUAAAAAGCUCUGUUUGGUUAAUAUUGUCUGAGUACUAUAUAAUAGUUAAAAC